rnacentral:lncRNA from 1 species
AGGAACUGUAGCAAGUAUGUAGAUUGCAUAUGUAUCGAAAACAUAAAGUGCAAACUAUGCUAUUACAAGCAUUCAUCUCAGAGAUUCUUUUACAUUUACAAUAUUUUACAUUUACAUAACCACAUAUGCUUUUAAGUUAAUACGAAACUUAUACAAAUUAUUACAAUUUUGUUUCUUUCCAUUUGAACUCUGAACUUGACCUCUUCAGGGUGUUGCUAUCUCAGUCUUAGUGGUGGGGCGCUAUCUAUGAAGCGACGCCCUGUCCUCGCGCCGCCGCGCCGCUCACGUGUAACCUGUACCCCCAAAACAACACGGGGGUGAGAACUAUAUAAAUAUAGUUCCCAGUGGGUACGGCACCCAAGAGAAGAGCUCGACCCACCAGGUCCAAAGGAGGCAACAGUAGGUUAGUUCAACAAAUAGAUAGAUAGAUACUACAAUUUUGUUUCUUUCCAUUUGAACUCUGAACUUGACCUCUUCAGGGUGUUGCUAUCUCAGUCUUAGUGGUGGGGCGCUAUCUAUGAAGCUACGCC